AUNNUUUGGCNAAACUCUACAUGGAUACCUGUGGAAAUCUAGAGCUAAUACAUGCAGCUGCUUGCANCGCGAUUUAUUAGUUACAGCCAGGACGCGUUGCGUUGGGGUGAGUCACAAUAACUUUGGGAUCGCACAGCCUUGUGCUGGCGACAGGCCAUUUAAGCUUCUGACCUAUCAACUUUUGAUGGUAUGAUAUGGGCUUACCAUGGUGAUGACGGGUGACGGGGAAUUAGGGUUCGAUUCCGGAGAUGGAGCAUGAGAAACGGCUCCAACAUCUAAGGGUGGCAGCAGGCGCGCAAAUUACCCACUCUUGAAUAAGGGAGGUAGUGACAAAACAUAACAAUGCGGGGCAAUGCUUCUGCAAUUGCAAUGAGGGUGCUCUAAAAAAGCUCCCGAGGAACCAUUGGAGGGCAAGUCUGGUGCCAGCAGCCGCGGUAAUUCCUGCUCCAAUAGCGUAUAUUGAGGUUGUUGCAGUUAAAAAGUUCGUAGUCGGAAGGAAACACACUGCCUGGCACAGGCGGGGCUUUGCGCCCUGCCUGAACAUGCCAGGCUGGUGUGACACACAAACAGGGUCUGCUUCAUUGUGAACUGCUGGUGUGUGAGCUACUUUGAGGAAAAUAGAGCGUUCAAAGCAGACGGCUGUCUGUAUAUGUUAGCAUGGAAUAGCACAGUGCCAUUAGCUGCUGCUGGUUGGAGCCGAUGGAAUGGUUGAUAGGAGUGGGCGUGGGCGUUGGUAUUUCGUGGCAGAGUGAAAUUCUUGGAUUCGCGGAGGACCAGCAAGAGCGUAAGCAUUCGCCAAGUAUGCUUCCGUUGAUCAGAGCUAUAGUUUGGGGAACAAAGNCGAUCAGAUACCGUCGUAGUCCAACCAUAAACUAUGUC
rnacentral:rRNA from 1 species